rnacentral:lncRNA from 1 species
AUUUACUAAUGGAUAAGAGUAUUCACAAUUCUGCUCGUCAGUUUUCCAUGUACAUAUCUUAUCUCUGAAGGGGUAUUAUGAGAUGAGGUCAACAGGCAGACUUAUGUUUCACUUGGUUAGAACAUCUAUUCCGAAUACUUCUACUGUUUAGGCUUAGUGUUCGUAGUGAAAGGCAGUUCUGAAGCUAAAGAAUUAUUUCACGUGGUUUGUUUAGGAUAAUAUUUUCACAUGAUGUUUAAUUUCUAAAUAAUUUAGGUAUUCGCAGAUGAUAUUUUGGCGGACAGUGACACCAUAUGGAGAAGGGGCACGAAAUUUUCAACUCAUGUUUUUGAUCUUCAGUGAUAGUAGCAUUUGUUGACCCCUUUAAGACGAUGGUAUUCUGUCAUGGUAACCUCCUCACACUCGACUUUUUUCACUAGAAGUAGAUUUUUAUCCUUGUUUAUUUCCUCUCCCUCAGAUUCUUCUCUUUUUAGGUUGAGUUCAGUUUUCAGUGUCUUGAUCCUGCGUAGAUUAAUUUCAAAAUGCACACAACCUUGACUCUGAUUGGCAAAUUAGUCUUGUUUAGUGUAUAGCGGUGUUGCAGGUUGUGGUGAUUUGGAACCCACUCCUUUGAUCUGUUUUGCUAAGAAUGGAGUUUUAGUCCUCUGGUAUUUCAGUGACUUUAUUCUGCAUAGAUUAAUUUCAAAAUGCACACAACCUUGAUUCUGAUUAGCAAAUUAACUCUUGUUUAGUGUAUAGUGGUGUUGCAGGUUGUGGUGAUUUGAAAUCCACUCCUUUGAUCUUUUUAGCUAAGAAUGGAUUUUUAGUCCUCUGGUACCAUUUCUGUCAUUUGAUCCUCUUACAAAAGGCUUCCUUUUUAUACAUUGCUUUAUUCCUUAGGAAUUUGCAGUUUUAAGCGGUUGAUGACAGGGAAAAAAACGCCGUUAAUUGUUUGCUGGGGUUUGUUAUAAAUGAUGUUUCUGUGAGUUGAUUGGAAUAUAAUCUUCACAUACAUAUUGGUACAGAAUCUGGUUUCCUUUGGUGCUUCAUCCACAGCUGGAAAUCGCUUUGGUCAAAUAAAAAUGGAUAUUUACGGAAUAAACGGUGUAAGAUUUUCCUUUCUUUUUCUUCGCUCAUUUCUAGUUCAUCAGUCUCAGUUGUGUAUUGGGGGAGUUCACGAGCUUGAUCAGUUUACAAAGACCAAGGGCAUGCUAAGGGCAACUUAUUCAUUGUUCACUGCCGCUACAUGUGUAUUGGUAAAUUGGAAUCUUUCUUUGUCUCUGCUCUAACAUGAAAUGGAAUCUAGUUCUUUUCAAUCUUUUAAAUCAUCUUAGGUUCCCUGAUGUGUUUCUGCAUUUGCUGAUAGAUUCGACCGGAAGAGGAUGACACAUGUAACUGAUAAGGUGUUAAGUUUAUGUGUGGUGUUAGUUUAUGAUUUUGUUGGCCUUUUUACCUAUAGCUUGUUCUCCCUACCUUUGUAGACAAGGCCUUCAACUUGAAAGGAAGGAAUUCAUUUGGACGUUGGCCUUUUUACCUGUAGUUUGUUCUCCCUACCUUUAUAGACAAGGCCUUCAACUUGAAAGGAAGGAAUUCAUUUGAACUUUACACGGGUCAGGAAUCUAUGGUAAAGUGGUUUUCAGGAUGGUGGAGCCAAUAUUGUUAAUUUUUUGUUGUGGUUUGUUUUAAUGAUAUAUUUUUAAGAGUUGCUUGGAAUGUGAUUUUCACUUCAUAUUGGUACAGAAUCUGGUUUUCUUUGGUGCUUUUUCAUUCACAGCUGGAAAUCCUUUGGUCAAAUAAUAUUCGAUUCUUAUGUAAGAAAGGGUGUAAAAUUCUUCUCUUUUCUUUGCUCAUUUCUGGUUCAUCAGUUUCAAUGUGUGCGUUGGGGUUGUUUAUGUGGAGUCUGAUCAUUUUAUGAGGUCUGGGCUGUGAAGGGAAACUAUUUUGCAGCUAAAUUCGCAUUGGCGAUUACAUCUGUCUUUGCUCUACAUGAACUGGAAUCUGGGCUUUUUUCAGCUUAGUAUAAAAUGCCUUAGGUUUUUGAUGUUCCUCCAUGUGCAGAUAAGAUUUGACGGGGAGAGGUCUGAGAGGAUGACACAUGAAUCAGGUAAAUAUUAAGGUGUUAGCUUUGUGUGUGUGGGUUUAUGAAUUAGGUAGUUCUCUCUGCAUUUCUGGACCUUCAACUUGAAAGGAAAGAAUUCAUUGGAACUUAUUUCUCGUCAGGGGUCUUCUUGUUGGAUAGAUGAAACAACAUACUAUUUAUAAAGAAAGAUUAAGCUCCCUCGAUACUGUCCAUCUGUUUGAAAUUAUCAAUAGUUGUAGUUAUCAUGAAUUGUCCUCUAUAUUAAAGUCUGGCAUGUACUGCACAGGAAUUUCCAAUAUAGCUUAAUGACAGUUCCUUGGGGUCUUCUUGGAUGUUCAGUUAUAAAGAUAGGUCACCAGUUGAUAACUUCCAUGCUAUGGUACUGAUAUGCACAAAGAAAAAAUUGAUUGACUGCAUGGUAAUUUCCUAUACUGCACAUAAAUCCUUUAUUGUCAUAAUCAGAUGUUGGGCUCUUUGGACUGUUGCUUACGGGUACUGCUAUCGAGCACUAGUGCUUAUCUAAGUGUUGGAUUUUUUAUUUUCUAAAAUAUAGGAUGCAGGAACAUUUCUAAAAAGAGUUCAAAUUUCAUAUACGGAUACGUGAGUAUUUCUUUAAUACUUCAAUUUUUUUUUUACUAAUCUAAAAUGUAAUUUUGAAUAGACCAAAAUAAAUUAUUCACAAAGAAGGAAAUAGAUAUUGAAUUAGAGGUUAAGACGAGUAAAAUAGAAUUUUGAGACGUAGUUUUUAAUCAUGGGAAUUACUAAAUGUUAUAUAAAAUAGAAAAUGAAGAAUUUGAUUGCAAUUUGGACUUAGUGAAGCACUAAUUAGUACUAUAUGAAACUUAUUUUUAUUUUAUACAAACAAAACCCUAAAUCACCAUUACAAAGAGAGAAGGAAAAAAGAAGAAAUUGGAAAGAAAAAAUAAAUAGGAAGAAAAAGAAAGGAAAAGAAGAGUUCGAGCAUUAGAGGCAAUUACUAUAACCGUAUUUUCAACUGGCACGUCGUCUUUAUAUGUAUGCCUUGGUUUUGGUUAAUGUUUCUCUGAUUGGUAUAUAUGACAUUUAAAGGUUUUAAUUAAUUUUUCUUUUUUGUAUAUCUAUCCAAUGGUGUAAAAAAAAGAAUCGAAU